GCUCUGGUGGCUCAAUCGGAUAGAGCGUUGGACUUCUAAUCGAAAGGUUGCGGGUUCAAGUCCCGCCCAGAGUA
rnacentral:tRNA from 1 species